UGGGGAAUUUUCCGCAAUGGGCGAAAGCCUGACGGAGCAAGACCGCGUGAGGGAGGAAGGCCUUUGGGUUGUAAACCUCUUUUCUCAAGGAAGAAGCAAGUGACGGUACUUGAGGAAUCAGCCUCGGCUAACUCCGUGCCAGCAGCCGCGGUAAUACGGAGGAGGCAAGCGUUAUCCGGAAUUAUUGGGCGUAAAGCGUCCGCAGGUGGUGAUUCAAGUCCGCUGUCAAAGACCGGGGCUUAACCCUGGAAAGGCAGUAGAAACUGAAUCACUAGAGUUCGGUAGGGGUAGAGGGAAUUCCCAGUGUAGCGGUGAAAUGCGUAGAGAUUGGGAAGAACACCAGUGGCGAAAGCGCUCUACUGGGCCGAGACUGACACUCAGGGACGAAAGCUAGGGGAGCGAAAGGGAUUAGAUACCCCGGUAGUCC
rnacentral:rRNA from 1 species